CUGAGCGCCCAACGAACUUUUAGAGCACAUUUUUGAUAAGUGUGCAGAGUGGGUGUGUUAUGGCCGCAGCCAGUGUUAUUUUUCUUCUUUUGUGCGGUGAAUUAAACGCGGAUGGUCAUUUUAAUACAACGUGCGAUGUGCAAGAAAAUUUCCAUAAGACGAUGAACUGCUUUGCAUCCGUUUUCGGCCAAAAGCUAGCUCAAGACGAGUAAAAAAAUACGCCGGCGUCUGCCCUGCUAGAGCGCACCUCCAUCAUCAUCGGGCCCCGUCGUAGCAAAAGGCGAUAGCGACAGCCGACUUGUUUUCCACUCGCGUCAUCUCUGCGCUCGCGGACUGAUUUUUUGAAAUUAUUUAAGUUCAAGUCAAUUCCUCGAUCGAGAGACUUUCUAUAAGAUCAUCUAUAAUGGAAACUCCGUUCAACCUCCUCUGAUUGUAAGCUACGGACUAUUACAGACAUCGUGACCUGCCAAGUUAGAACAAUUUGCUUUGAGGGAGAAGAUAGUUCCACGCAGAUCCACGCAGUGCAAUUAUUAUCCUUAUUUAUGAUUUCUAUACUGUAAUUGUGUUGUAUUUAAAAAAAAAAUGUGAUACCGAAUUGAAAAUUUUUAAAUAAAAGGAUCUAUGAGAUCAAUUAAAAUUGAAUCAAUAUUAUUUUAGUUAAAGCUUUCCAGUACCAUAGUAAAAUGAUAGUAAAUUUAAAUU